AGCUGCCUGGCCCCCACCCCAUGGACCAUGCCUCAAAUGCAGCAGAAGACAUUGGGCAAGAGAGUACCUCAUCCUGGCUUUCUUUGAGACCAUACCCCAGGGCUACUGGACUGUCCUAACCACCAGAGAGUGGGGUUUCACUAUGCAGUUCAGUCUGGCUCGUUCUUGAACUCACUUUGUAUCCCAGGCUGGCCUCAAACUCACAGCAAUCCUCCUGCCUCAGCCUCCCACGUGUUGGAAUUACAGUGCUUUCUUCAUAGCUGUUGACAGAUGUGAACCAUCUAUUGCCAUGGACUACAAUUCCAUCAUUUGACAGGACAACAGUUUCACUGCUUGUGGGUGAUUUCAGAGGAAAACAAGGAAGCCCUAAAAGAAAGUUCUAUGGAUGCGGACUCACAAAAAUGAAAUAAGGCACCCAUGCAAGAGCAGCAGAUCUGGUGACAAAUUCUCUAACCUUCCCAAUUCUGCUCACAAUGUUCAGCUUUACUUUGAGCUGUGGUUUACUUCUUACAUCUUUGUCUCUGAGUCUCUUCUUUCUGAGUCUCUGAGACUCACUUUGGCCUUUUGGUUUCCAGUGGGAGGAGAGGACCUAUGAGCAGGUCUGGGUGCCUUGAUUUAGCCUGAGCAGCCUUGGACAAGCAGGAAGCUUAGCAGCAGCACGUAAAAGCCAACGAGAUGCUUCUUACAAUAAUGGACCUUGACAUGCAUUUGAUACUCAGAAUGGAUGGAAGUCUGGGGAAAAGUGGAGAUUACUUUCCAAUUUCACUGUGUCUAUAAAAAUGGCAUUACUGAACUCUAAAUCCUAGCAUCCAUGACCCUAAUCAUUUUCUUUCUUCUCUGUCAUUCUUUCCUUUGAAGACCAGGUUACUUGUCUCUUGGAUUUGAGAUAAAGUUUUAGGUGACAACAAAAAAUAAAAUACUAGAAACCAUAAAGAUACUAAUUAUCACACUAACAGCUUUUAUUUCUCCUCAUUGGUUUGUGGAAAAGUAACUACCUCUUUAUCUCAAUAUGCUGUGGAGGGUGCUUUAUUUUCACCAAAUAGAUCAGACUUUUUAAUGAGUAAUAGUAUUUUAAAAAGAUAAAUAAAUUGACUUUAUGGAGAAGCAGACCAUUCCUCAAGAACUAUUAGAGAUCUUGUUAUCCAAAAUAUUCCUAUUCUGUCGACCUUAUUUACAGAUUUCAUGAAAAACACAUCAUAACAUUGAUGUAUGGACCCUGUAGCAUCCAAUUUCUUGAAGACCUCUGUAGCUACUAAGGAUGCUGGCCAUGCCCUUAUCAACACACGGAUAAUAUAAAUGAGAUGAUGCCUCAUGGAACAUAAUGCACACAGAUGCUUUUCUAAAAUGUACUCACAUCCUUCAGAAAUAAUGCAAUUUGGCUCUCUACCUUGGCUCUAAAUGAAAUAAUGUUCCAGAUGGGGGAGGCAGGUAAUAAAAUUGACAGUCACUAA